rnacentral:lncRNA from 1 species
AAUGUUAAAAUAAUCAUUUCUGUUGCUUACGUCCAGAACACAGAAAAAUAAAUAUUUUCCACCUCACUGAAUCAGAUGUAGGCAGGAUAGGUACACACAUCAGACACCUUCUCUCUGGAUCUGUCGAUUUUGGAUUUCUUUUCUUCCCCAUCCCCACCUUCUCAUUUUGAAGUAUUGAGCUUUACUACACCUAGUCCAGCUUCCAUUGUCCAUUUCCAGCCUUGGUGACGUGUCAGAGGCAAAGUGGCCAUAUAGGCAUUUGCAGUUCAGCCAAUGACUUGUUUGACUCAGAACAUCUGGCCAG